UGAUCUGCACUGAAACUGUGGCAGUUAUGAAAGAGUAUAAUGUACGACGUCAUUAUGAAACCAAACAUCAGGCCUAUGCAUCCUACACUGGUGCUGAGCGAGAGCAGAAAUUAAAGCAAAUGCUAGCUCUCCUGCAGGGUAAGCAACAGUAUUUUUUUCGUGCUCAAAUUGUCCAGGAAAAGGCUCCAAUAGCAGCUAUGAGGUCGCCCAACUCAUGGCAAGACAUGGCAAGCCUUUUUCAGACGGAGACCUCAUAAAACGCUGCUUCGUUAAAGUCACCGAAAUAAUGGGCCCGGAAAAAGUGCAGGACUUCAAUAACGUCAGCAUGUCCAGAAAUACACACUGUAAUCCCUAACAGUUGUUCUAGCUCAUAACUAAUAAGCUCAUAACACUCAAAUGUCGUUUUGUAGUUGAGCAAACUAUAAAGUAUUGAGCUCUGUUGGCUUUUAUGCAACUUUAAUUGAAUAGGGCUCAAUAUUUUUUAGCUAAUUUGUUUGGAACGCUCAAAAAGUUUAAGAAGCAUAUAUUAGUGACGUUCUGGUGGGUGGAGUCUUGUCGCUCCCUCAGGAAAGCUGAGUCAGCCAUCUUGAAUUUACCUUGAUGCGGGGAAGAUUUGGCCUGCCCGUGUGGAUUAAGAGUCCCCAACUUCAACCUACAACGACCACCACCUUAAUUUUUUUCAUCAACUGCCCUAAAUUUGAUUAGAGGGGUAUUCCACUAAGCGAGCUCUACAAGUCAAGACUGGGCAGUGGGUCCAUGAAUAAACUGCCUCACUCCUGCAGGUGUCUGUCCAUACUUCCCAUCGUUCAAGAACCAAAAGAUGGCUGCUGCCCAGAAGCAUGUGCUGCAUGUGUAUGUUGAACGAGACACCGCCCUGAAACUUACUCUACUUGAGCGACCAAAGUCAGUGGAGGAGCUGAAAGAAAUAAUUCAAGAGAGGUUCAAGCCAAGACUGAAUGGGGACUUUAGCCUUCACUAUGUCCUCAUGGACACAACCUAUGCCCUAUGUCGCCAAGAAA